rnacentral:rRNA from 1 species
GACCUGAAAAAAGCAAAGCAGGGAAAGCGGGGGAGGGGUUGACAGGGAUGAUCGGGAAGUGUAGGAUCAAACGGUUGACUCUUUCGGGGAGAAAAAAGCCCUGAAGAGAAAGACGCCCUGUGGAAACGCAGGGAGAGCGUCUCGGAUCAUUGACAACUAAAUAGGAGCAGCAACGUCCAAUUAAAGGGCCCUGAUCACGAAACACAGGAACAAAAUGAAUCUGGAGAGUUUGAUCCUGGCUCAGAACGAACGCUGGCGGCGUGCCUAACACAUGCAAGUCCAACGUGAAAGGGGAGCAAUCCCCCGGUAGGGUGGCAAACGGGUGAGUAAUACAUGGGUGAUCUACCUUAGGGAUGGGGAUAUCCUUCCGAAAGGAGGGGCAAUACCGAAUAUUGUCCGGAGCCGUGAAGGGUUCCGGGGAAAGGGAGGCCUCUGAUACAAGCUUUCGCCUUAAGAUGAGC